CAUGACUCUCGGCAACGGAUAUCUCGGCUCUCGCAUCGAUGAAGAACGUAGCGAAAUGCGAUACCUGGUGUGAAUUGCAGAAUCCCGCGAACCAUCGAGUCUUUGAACGCAAGUUGCGCCCGAGGCCAUUCGGCCGAGGGCACGCCUGCCUGGGCGUCACGCA
rnacentral:rRNA from 1 species